GCAUUGGUGGUUCAGUGUUAGAAUUCUCGCAUGCUACGCGGGAGGCCCGGGUUUUAUUACAGGCCAAUGUG
rnacentral:tRNA from 1 species